CCCGCCUGUUCGGUGUUCGCACUGCAGCCAUGAUGCUGCCUGUUCCACAGUCAUUUACUCCAUGAUGGCAACCUUCGCUAUCGCAUUGCUGUGUGUGUUGCUCAGUUGAAUUUGGAGGCAGCUGAUGGAGAAAAUGUUACCAUAUCCUUCAAAACGGCUGGACUGGAGAGAGCCGAUCAAGUGAAGAUAACUUUGACAAGAGGAAGUCAGAAAUAUCUGAUUGCGCAGUACUGUCGCUGUGCUCAUUGUGGGGACUGUGAUGCCGUGGAAACACCGGGAGUCUUACUGCGAGUUGAAGAAGGAACCUUAACUCUUCUACGUGUCAGCUCCAAUAACUCAGGCCUCUAUGAAGUAAAAAUCAUUGGAAAUAAUGUGUCUGGGAUAAAUGCUACACUUGUUGUCAACAAACCUCUAUUGUCCUCCAGUAUAGAGCCAACACAAUCCUCCAUCUCAAAACCUCCAGAAUCCUCUGAACGCCAAAGGCUAUAUGUAUUAUUUGCUCCAGUUGUAUUCAUCUUUGUGGUCUUGGGGGUUUGUUUCUUCUGUAAAUACAAGAAGGAAUGUAAGUCAACAGCUGAUGUUGAAGCAGCAUGAUGAACCCCUGCUGUCUACAGAUUCAGUAUCUUCAAAAACAACUAUUGAAAACACUGAAGAUCAGCUGGUGGAGUUUUAAAACUGAUCCAGGUAUUCAGAAUGACAUCUGAUGGCACAGAUAGUUUGAUGAAAACGUCUCGCGCAUUGUGCUGUAUGGUUUGCACUUCCUCGUGCUGUAAAAUGCUUUAGCUACAGGCCUAUAUGUCAGUUUUUAAGAAACACAAUCUCUCCCAAGCAAUACUGUAAACUAUACAGGGAACCCUUAUUUAGUACACUAAUACUGAAAUUAACAACAGAGCCCAAACUAUUAUAUUCAACUGCUGUUUAUUUUAAGAUCUACUAAUUACACUCCAAAAAAAAGUCAGUUAAAACAGUUGUAUACAAAGAAAUUAAUUUGCACAUAAAAACUUUAUUUAGAUUUAAAUAUACAUUAAUAACCAUCAAUAAGCUCCU
rnacentral:lncRNA from 1 species